GGUUCGAAUCCUGCACGGUUGGUAGAGCAGUUGACUUUUAAUCAAUUGGUCGCAGGUUCGAAUCCUGCACGACCCACCA
rnacentral:tRNA from 1 species